UACGGUAGGGACCAAGCGUUGUUCGGAUUUACUGGGCGUAAAGGGCGCGUAGGCGGUAUGACAAGUCACUUGUGAAAUCUCUGAGCUUAACUCAGAACGGCCAAGUGAUACUGCAGUGCUAGAGUGUGGAAGGGGCAAUCGGAAUUCUUGGUGUAGCGGUGAAAUGCGUAGAGAUGUGGAGGAACACCGAUGGCGAAGGCAGCCCCCUGGGUCAAGAUUGACGCUCAUGCACGAA
rnacentral:rRNA from 1 species